rnacentral:lncRNA from 1 species
CUUCGAGCAGAUCCCAGCAUGAAUCCUGCAGUAUGGUGAUGGCAAAAGUCAGUGCAGGACCACUGGGACUCCUGGAGCUUCUCACAUCUCUGAGAGCACCAGCAGCAGCCAGCUCUCCUCUGCCGUUUGCCAUGAGUGGAAGCAGCCUGAGGCCUCACCUGAUGCAGAUGCCACUGCCAUGCUUCUAGUAGAGCCCACAGAACCAUGAGCCAAACAAACCUUUCUUCUUAUUGUUUUUCUUCCCAACUUUUGUUUUAGUUGGGAAAUAAAGGCCCAGUGGAGUGUUUUCUCCACUGUGUUGUGACAGUGGGCCAUGAACUUGCCUCAUCUUCCUAAUAGUUAUCUACUACUUAAUGUCCGAAGAAACAUAUGUAUUGGCUUGACUAAUGUUACAUUUAUGUUGUUAAGAAACAUGUACUCAGGGGCUACAUGUGCAGGUUUGCUACAUGGGUAAAUUUCAUACCAUAGGAGUUUGGUGUACAGAUUAUUUUGUCAUCCAGGAAAUAAGCAUAGCAUCUAUAGAUAGCAGAUGACUGGUAGGAAGAUGAGGCAAGUUUGCGGUCCAUUGUCAUGGAUAGUGGAGACAACACUGGGCCAGAAGUGGUAAGACCUGAAUCCAAGACUCAGCUCUGCCACUUGCUAAAUGGGACUUUGAAUAAACCAUUUCUCUGCACUUAAGUUCCUUACCAACAAAACGAGGGAAGUGGCCUACAUGCCUAGAUAUCAACAUUUCAUGUCACGUAGAGAUCUAGCAUCACAAGAAUCCAAGUCAUCCUCUGUUGCCUUUAAGAUUUCAGCAUGGUGAAGGAAAAGUAGCAGAAGACUGAAUGCAUACUCAGUUUUCAAGCUCUGGAUUUAAUCUUUCCAUAGCUGGAAUUGCCUCCUCCUCAAAAGCCUUAUUUGUUCAUUUAAUUGGGGCAACAUGAAAUAAUGAUGUAUCAUUGACAGAGAACAGGGGGCUUAGGUUCUCAUCUUGGUCCUAGUGAUUACUCUAUGCAUAACCUCAACUUCUUUAUCUGUACAUUGGGAACAAUAAUUCUUACUCCACUUGUUGUGUUGAAACUGAAUUAUAUAAUUCAUAAAUUAAAACACCAAAUUCUGAUAAA